rnacentral:rRNA from 1 species
UACGUAGGGUCCGAGCGUUGUCCGGAAUUACUGGGCGUAAAGAGCUCGUAGGUGGUUUGUCGCGUUGUUCGUGAAAACUCACAGCUUAACUGUGGGCGUGCGGGCGGAUACGGGCAGACUAGAGUACUGCAGGGGAGACUGGAAUUCCUGGUGUAGCGGUGGAAUGCGCAGAUAUCAGGAGGAACACCGGUGGCGAAGGCGGGUCUCUGGGCAGUAACUGACGCUGGAGGAGCGAAAGCGUGGGGAGCGAACAGG